GGGACUAUAGCUCAGCCGGCUAGAGCGCACGCCUGAUAAGCGUGAGGUCGGUGGUUCGAGUCCACCUAGUCCCA
rnacentral:tRNA from 1 species